UAGGGAAUCUUCGGCAAUGGACGAAAAGUCUGACCGAGCAACGCCGCGUGAGUGAAGAAGGUUUUCGGAUCGUAAAACUCUGUUGGUAGAGAAGAACGUUGGUGAGAGUGGAAAGCUCAUCAAGUGACGGUAAUACCCAGAAAGGGACGGCUAACUACGUGCCAC
rnacentral:rRNA from 1 species